rnacentral:misc_RNA from 1 species
ACAAUGAUGAGAAUUUGAGACAACAACCUUCCCAAAUGGUUAAAAUUGACAUGCUUCAAAGGAACAUACUAACAGACAAACCUAGAGUAACAAAGUUCCCUAUCAAUUUUCACCCCGAAAACAGCGAGACUGGAGAGCAAGCCGCUGCCCCUCCACCUGAUGAUAAUACGGCUGAAGCAGAUGGUUAUGAAGAGUGACUACCUUCAACUAGGAAUGGAUCAGAUGAGGGUGGGGCCUAACUGUGGAAGGAUGUUAAUCUUUUGCGCAACUCCUAACCUUUUAGUUUGACAUCGUUCUGUUGGGCCAACAUCUCAUCCUCAAUCCUAAUACAUGAUCGUUAUCCUCUUUUGGUGAUGUCUUCAUCUAUCUCAGUGGAGCUAUAUGGAACUGCGUAUGAACACUAGUUGCAUUUUGUGGCUGAUAAUGUGGUUGUUUG